rnacentral:lncRNA from 1 species
AGUCAUGCAAAGUACAAGUUACAGCUCCUGAAAUUUUGACAUUUAUGCUAAAGUUAGACAAUGCACUAGAAAGGCAGAUAUUCAGAAGAAUUUAUGAAGUUCUUAACAAUCUGCAAGGAAUGAACUUAGUAAGUUUUCUCAAGUCUUAAAGAUUUUGACGAGUAAAGCAGAGUUCUGUUAUAAUUCAUUAUGCUAGAAUAUUAGAGUCCGUAAGAGGUAAAUGUUAAGGUUGUAAAAGAAAAAAAGAGAUUUGAGAAUGAAUUGCUUGCUUAAUCCCUCAAGUAUGUUCUUAAGUUGCCAUAAAUAUUCUCAAUUUUUGGAGCCACAAAGUAAUUUGUAAGAAUAUUUACUAGUAAUUUGUAGCUGCACUAGUACUUUCAUCUGCAUUUUAAAGUGUUUUAAAUUUCAGUUCUUUUCACUUGCAACAACCACUGGGCAAUCUAUCUUCACAUCGGUGCAAGAUUGUUUAGUAUGACAUUUCAAGAGGAUAUAACCUUAGCUUAAGAUAGAUAUGGCUUAUCCCUGACAGUUGAUGGAAGAAAAAACCUUAUCCUACGACACAACUCUCUUAAUUCAUGAUACAAAAAACCACAUUAGAUUAAAAAGUAUCUCAUCCUACUCUUUCUUGCAUUCUCAAACUUGACCCUUUUGUGUGACAG